AGAGUUUGAUCCUGGCUCAGGAUGAACGCUGGCGGCGUGCUUAAUACAUGUAAGUCGGACGGAGCGUUAGCAAUAGCGCUUAGUGGCGAACGGGUGAGUAACACGUUGGUGACCUGCCCCGAAGCGGGGGAUAACAGUUCGAAAGGACUGCUAAUACCGCAUGAGGUCAUGAGGAUUAGAAGGUCAUGACGAAAGCAGCGAUGCGCUUUGGGAGGGACCUGCGGCCCAUCAGCUAGUUGGUAAGGUAGUGGCUUACCAAGGCGACGACGGGUAGGGGGCCUGAGAGGGUGAUCCCCCACACUGGCACUGAAACACGGGCCAGACACCUACGGGUGGCAGCAGUAGGGAAUAUUGCACAAUGGGCGAAAGCCUGAUGCAGCAACGCCGCGUGCACGAUGAAGGCCUUCGGGUCGUAAAGUGCUUUUCUGCAGGACGAGGAAGGACGGUACUGUAGGAAUAAGGAUCGGCUAACUACGUGCCAGCAGCCGUGGUAACACGUAGGAUCCGAGCGUUAUCCGAAUUCACUGGGCGUAAAGGGCUAGCAGGCGGCCGGAAAAGUUGGAUGUGAAAUCUCCUGGCUCAACUGGGAGAGGCCGUUCAAGACUAUCUGGCUCGAGGGCGAUAGAGGGAGGUGGAAUUCCAGGUGUAGUGGUGAAAUGCGUAGAUAUCUGGAGGAACACCAGUGGCGAAAGCGGCCUUCUGGAUCGCACCUGACGCUGAGAAGCGAAAGCUAGGGGAGCAAACGGGAUUAGAAACCCCGGUAGUCCUAGCCGUAAACGAUGUAGACUAGGUGUUGGUGGGGUAAAAGCCAUCAGUGCCGCAACGAACGCGAUAAGUCUACCGCCUGGGGACUACGGCCGCAAGGUUAAAACUCAAAGGAAUUGACGG
rnacentral:rRNA from 1 species